CAGCUCGAGUUUCUCUUCAUUGUCGCAUAAAUCUUUCGCCUUUUACUAAAGAUUUCCGUGGAGGGGAGCUUUUGCGAGUGACCUGUAGUUUUUUUUGGGGGCUCUGCUCACAGCAGAGCU
ensembl:snRNA U5 U5 spliceosomal RNA